CAGAAAAUAGUUUAAUUUUAAAAUGUAAGGUUUGGGACUUUAUGAUAUAUUUAUAUUUUUUUGA
rnacentral:tRNA from 1 species